rnacentral:misc_RNA from 1 species
UCCCCUAGCAUGGACAACACGCUCUGGAAUCCUCUCCCUAUCAAAGUUCGCAAGUUUCUCCACCAGAUGAUAGUCUUCAAGAAGGAUCGGACCUCUGGGCCCAACAGUCAAGGACGAAUUGUUGUUCCAUACUGGAGCACCGUAAUUCGUAGUCCAGAAGGGGGAAUCGUAAGCGCUUGAUGGACGGUUCUUGUAGGGAUCCAUAGCAAGAGAUAUUUGUGAAUUUUUGAUGGGUUUGGUGAGAAAAGGAGACCCCAAAACACCGAAUUAAAUGUGAGAGUCGCGUUCAAUUCGAAGAAGAACUCUACUUUCUGGCUAUUUAUAGAGGCUCGUCGCUUGCACGUCCAUUUUCUUGUAAUGCUGGGUUGAUUGCUGCUCAAUAUGCCCAUCAUGUUCAUCACGCAGAAAUGAAACUUGAAAAGC